rnacentral:rRNA from 1 species
UGCUGCAUGGCUGUCGUCAGCUCCGUGCGUGAGAUGUUGGGUUAAGUCCCGUAACGAGCGCAACCCUUGUCCUUAGUUACCAGCACGUUAUGGUGGGCACUCUAAGGAGACUGCCGGUGACAAACCGGAGGAAGGUGGGGAUGACGUCAAGUCAUCAUGGCCCUUACGGCCUGGGCUACACACGUGCUACAAUGGUCGGUACAAAGGGUUGCCAAGCCGCGAGGUGGAGCUAAUCCCAUAAAACCGAUCGUAGUCCGGAUCGCAGUCUGCAACUCGACUGCGUGAAGUCGGAAUCGCUAGUAAUCGUGAAUCAGAAUGUCACGGUGAAUACGUUCCCGGGCCUU